CCCACACACUCUUCUCUUCUCCGUCCUCUCUCUCAAUUCGUCGAGUUUUCGUGCAAUGGCGUCGUUGAUCGGAUGUUUCUCUCUCAAAUCUACUCAUCGAGGUGCGGUUCCAAAAUGGAGAUCACCUAGAGCAGCUGUAGUUCCCAAUUUUCACCUCCCAAUGCGUAGUAACGAAGUUAAAAACAGGGUAAAUUGCUUCAAAAGUCGUCAACUUUGCAAAUAGUUUGGUAUUUCCCGUAAACUUUAAAAGUUGCAUGAAAAGUC